UUGGAAUCGAACUCCCCGGAAUCAGCCGCCCCAGCAUAAUAGGAGCUGGACUUCUCGGCCCGAUCGUAGGCGUUUCCACCGGAGAACUUGCUCUUCCGCUCGCACUCCAGCUGCUUGACUUUGUCCUGUGGAUAUUCGGAGCACUAUUCCAGAUCCUGACCAACCCAUUUAGAGAUACGAAUUGCCAGUGCUGAUGAACUCAGCCCCUUGUUAUUUAUUUCCACUCACGCCGGCUGCAAGUGCAAUCUUGGCAGCCAUAAUUUGUAACUCAUCGCAGACAUGGCAUCACCCCGGAUUUGAGUUGGAAACAUCAUUAAUAUAAAAUCUGCUGCGUAAUCAGACUCAGACGCAGACUAAUCAAGUUAUCACCGAUCCGCCCCCAAUCUGCCUUGACAUCCACACUUGGAAAAAGCCAGAGAUUCUUUUGUAGUUAUUAAUGAAAAAUUGAGAUUGAUUCAAAACUUUUACCAGCCAUAAACCAAGUUAUGAGCCAAAUUUACAUUUUCUAGUUUUGGUAACAACUUUCAAAGGCGAUUUUCAAAACGUUGGCAUAAAAUUUUAAGACGUUUUAUUAAUCAUUAUUUACCCACUUACCGCACUAUUGAUGUCGGCCCGUCCCAUCUCGGACUGCUGCUUCUGGGUGCGGACAUCGUCCA